AAAUGAAUAGACGGGGGCUCACACAAGCGGUGGAGGAUGUGGCUUAAUUCGAGGCUACGCGAAGAACCUUAUCCUAGGUUUGACAUGCAUGGAUUAGCCCUGUGAAAGCAGGGUGACGCCUUCGGGUGGAACAUGCACAGGUGCUGCAUGCCUGUCGUCAGCUCGUGUCGUGAGAUGUCGGGUUAAGUCCCUUAACGAGCGAAACCCUUGUCGUUAGUUGCCAGCGAGUCAUGUCGGGGACUCUAACGAGACUGCCGGUGUUAAACCGGAGGAAGGUGGGGAUGACGUCAAGUCCUCAUGGCCUUUAUGCCUAGGGCUGCACACGUCCUACAAUGGCGCAUACAAAGGGAAGCAAACUCGCGAGAGCAAGCAAAUCCCAAAAAGUGCGCCUCAGUUCGGAUUGCAGGCUGAAACCCGCCUGCAUGAAGCUGGAAUCGCUAGUAAUCGCGGGUCAGCAUACCGCGGUGAAUGUGUUCCUGAGCCUUGUACACACCGCCCGU
rnacentral:rRNA from 1 species